rnacentral:snRNA from 1 species
AUGCUCUUUUAGGCAGCACAUAUACUAAAUUAUAAACGAUGCAGAGAUUAUCAUGGCCCCUGUGUAAGGAUGACACGCUAAUUCAUGAAGCAUUCCAUAUUAAA